rnacentral:rRNA from 1 species
AUUGAACGCUGGCGGCAUGCCUUACACAUGCAAGUCGAACGGCAGCACGGGUGCUUGCACCUGGUGGCGAGUGGCGAACGGGUGAGUAAUACAUCGGAACAUGUCCUGUAGUGGGGGAUAGCCCGGCGAAAGCCGGAUUAAUACCGCAUACGAUCUACGGAUGAAAGCGGGGGUCCUUCGGGCCUCGCGCUAUAGGGUUGGCCGAUGGCUGAUUAGCUAGUUGGUGGGGUAAAGGCCUACCAAGGCGACGAUCAGUAGCUGGUCUGAGAGGACGACCAGCCACACUGGGACUGAGACAAGGCCCAGACUCCGACGGGAGGCAGCAGUGGGGAAUUUUGGACAAUGGGCGAAAGCCUGAUCCAGCAAUGCCGCGUGUGUGAAGAAGGCCUUCGGGUUGUAAAGCACUUUUGUCCGGAAAGAAAUCCUUGGCCCUAAUACGGUCGGGGGAUGACGGUACCGGAAGAAUAAGCACCGGCUAACUACGUG